rnacentral:rRNA from 1 species
CCUGCCCUUGACUCUGGGAUAAGCCUGGGAAACUGGGUCUAAUACCGGAUAGGAACGUCCACCGCAUGGUGGUUGUUGGAAAGAUUUAUCGGUCAUGGAUGGACUCGCGGCCUAUCAGCUUGUUGGUGAGGUAAUGGCUCACCAAGGCGACGACGGGUAGCCGGCCUGAGAGGGUGACCGGCCACACUGGGACUGAGACACGGCCCAGACUCCUACGGGAGGCAGCAGUGGGGAAUAUUGCACAAUGGGCGAAAGCCUGAUGCAGCGACGCCGCGUGAGGGAUGACGGCUUCGGGUUGUAAACCUCUUUCAGUAGGGAAGAAGCGAAAGUGACGGUACCUGCAGAAGAAGCACCGGCUAAUACGUGCCAGCAGCCGCGGUAAUACGUAGGGUGCGAGCGUUAUCCGGAAUUAUUGGGCGUAAAGAGCUCGUAGGCGGUUUGUCGCGUCUGUCGUGAAAGUCCGGGGCUUAACCCCGGAUCUGCGGUGGGUACGGGCAGACUAGAGUGCAGUAGGGGAGACUGGAAUUCCUGGUGUAGCGGUGGAAUGCGCAGAUAUCAGGAGGAACACCGAUGGCGAAGGCAGGUCUCUGGGCUGUAACUGACGCUGAGGAGCGAAAGCAUGGGGAGCGAACAGGAUUAGAUACCCUGGUAGUCCAUGCCGUAAACGUUGGGCACUAGGUGUGGGGACCAUUCCACGGUU